CCAAACCGGAUUACGGGUGCGACGGGAGGCCGAUUGCAAGUGUCGACAAGCAAUCGGAAAGCGUUUUGAGGUGGGUCGUGCUCACUGAAGCGAUUAGGUCGCUUUCCAUGCUAAAGUAUAGUAUGUUUACUAUUGAUGCAUGAUAAAGUAUGCUAUUUAAGAAUGCAUGAUAAAGAUUAAAGUAUGCUAUUUAAGAAUGCAUGAUAAAGAUUAAAGUAUGCUAUUUAAGAAUGCAUGAUAAAGAUAGAUGUCAAAUGAAUGCAUGAGUUGAUGUUAAUUUACAUGAGCAUAUUAUAGAAAUGUUAAACAGAUGUCAAAUGAAAGUAUGAGAUUUAUUCUAACCGAGAAUGCAUGUGGUAAAUGUUAACGAAUGCAUAAAAUGCUAAGUAAUGACUACCAAUGGAUGACAAAAUAUAUGCAUGUUGAACAUAGAUCGAGUGGCAUUUGGAAAUGGUAAAGUGGACACUAGAGUUAGUGUGGGACAUCAAAGAAUAAAUGUGAUGUAAAGAAUAAUGAUAAUGGCUAAAGAUAAUGUAAAACAAUGUGAUGAUAAUAAUGUAAUGUUGCAUGAUGUGAGUACACGUGCUUAUUAGAAUGAUUAAGAAUCUAAAUAAUCUAUGUGUAUGCAUGAGAUGUAAUGUGAGAACCUAAUGAUAAUGGUUUGAGACAAGGCAAAGCAAUGUGAUGUAAAGAAUAAUGAUAAUGGCUAAAGGCGAUGUAAAGUAAUGUGGCAUAAAGAGCAAGCAAAGUGUAAAGAACAAUGAUAAUGGCUAGAGUUAGCAACCAAUGUGACAUAAAGAACACUAGAGUUAGUGUGUGGCAAUAAAAGAACAAGUGUGAUAUCAAGAAUGACAAUUACUAAAGUAAUUGAUAAUUGUGGUAUAAAGAAUAAUGAUUGCUAGAGUUAGCAACUAAUGUGAUGUAAAGAACACUAGAGUUAGUGUAAAACCAUGAUCCAACUACAUAUCCUUAGAGUUAAGGAUUGAUCAUACUUGCUAUGAGUUCCGUGCUCGAGGGCGGUCGCUCCCCCUCGAGCGAUGCGCUCCGGAGUUUGGCAUCCGGGUUGGAGUAGACCCGUAAGGACGGUCCUAGCUGGUGAGUUCCUGCGAUGAUGGACUUAAUGUGAAGCAAGUUAAUGUGGCGAAACCCCCGGGUUAGCCGUGAGAUUAAAGAACAAAGAACAAAAAGGAAUCAUGAAUUGGAAAGUGGAUCUUGUAUUCAUUAUGAAUUGACUCAAGACGGAGUCGAGUGGCAUAGUUGGCUAAAGUAAAGGUGACAAUUGAGAAAGAAUGACAAUUGAGAAACGUUUGUUAAUGUUAUAAAGAAUGGCAAAAGUGUAUAAUGCGCCUAAGGUGCGAGUGCCCUUAAUAAAGAAUAAAGAAUAAAGAAUAAAGAAUAAAGAAUAAAGAAUAAAGAGUAAAGAAUGGCUAAUGAUAAAGAAUAGCAAAUUCUAAAGAAAGUCUAAUGGUAAAGAAUAACUAAGAGUUGCAUAAUUUGCAUAUUUGUGAGGCAUGAACAUGUAUUGCAUGAUGUUAUAUGUAUAUAUAUCUGUUGGACUAACAUGUUGCAGUGCCUCCUUUGGACCUGGUGGGUUGAGCUUUUCACUUGGGUGGCUGUACCCACUGACGACUAUGGACAAUAGUCUCACCCCCGUGUUGUUGUUUUUGGGGGUACAGGUUCACACGCGAGCGGCGCGGCGGCGCGAGGAAAGGGCGUAGCUCCGUAGUUAGCGCCCUACCACAGAGACCAGAUAGCAGCACCCUGAGUCGGCUUCUUAGGGGUAUAAGAAAAGAAAAGAAAAGAAUUGAUGUUGUAAUAUUAUGUUUAGAAAUCGAUUGUAUAUUUGGAAGUUGAGAAUCAAUGUAAUGAAAAAUGCGAUGUAAAAUGAUGAGAUGAAUGAUUGUAAUAACAUAGGAUGUGUUAUGUUGUUUGAUACCUUCCUUAUGCAAUCGUUGUUGAAAAAUUGUUCCUGUUUGGAACCUCUUGUACUUGGAUUGAUUGCGACGCCUUGAACGUACAGGGGAGACUCUGUCCGCGUGUAGGGAAAACCCUGUCCGUUCGGCGGUCUGUUGGCGUGCCCGAAUCCGACCAAAGAGGCGGGCUCGGGGCGUGACAGAUAAGAUGGUAUCAGAGCAUAAAGUAGAGAAUGGGAAAGUGGUUUAGAUGAACCUAGGAGACCCUAGGAUAGUAAACCAUAGGAGAUUAAGGCUCGUGAGAGACGAGGACUUGUGGCUUUGGCGAAAGGUUAAGGGAUUGGGUUGUGUUGUAAACCUCUAAAAAGGAGAUUAGAGGUGGAUUCAAGGUGUGGUCUACUCUCAACCGAGGGUGUUCAUGUUGGACGCGUACAACAUGAAACCGAGUGAUGAGAAUAGAUGACCUUGUAUGACUUUCGCCUGAUUUGAGUUGAUGUCAGUUGUCUCGUACUCGACCUAGAAGGUUGAGAGUUAGUUGAGUUGUUAUGUUCUAGGUAACGAUGGCACUGCGUAGGCGAUCUUCGUUUAGAUCGACGCGGGGUGGGACAAGUGAUGUCCCAGAGCAAUCCAAGGCGAGCGGAGAUUUGGAACUUCGCGAACAGUUGGCCACACUUGUGGGUGUGGUGAGGCAACGAGCAGAUGUGGUGCAGCGGCAGCAGGAGGCUGUUAUGCACCAGGAGGAGCGAAUUAAGAGACUCCUGAAAAGUUGUAGGUGUAAUAUACCGAAACUUCGGUAAGCGAACAUCGAACCUUGGUCAAAUUAACCAAAGAGCGAGGUUGGUACACUUCGGAAAGGCCGAAGGCAUCAAAUAAUGCAAAAGUGCGUUACUGGGGAUCUUCGAGAGCUUUGGGAAUCAAAAUCUGCAAAUUGCAGGUUUUCUGCUCUCGGGGACCGGUCUCUGGUGGGAGAGACCGGUCCCCGCACGCGCAGACAGCGAAAGGGAGGAAAAAAAAAAAAAGGCUAAGUCCCCGGUGGACAGCUCUCGGGAACCGGUCCCUGCAGGGAGAGACCGGUCCCGAAGAGACCGGUCCCAUCGGGGGAGACCGGAUGCAUCGUGCGUGAGCCCUGCUGACCGCGGGGAGAGCUCUCGGAGACCGGUCCCUCGUCGGGGAGACCGGUCCCCGAACCUGAGAGUGGCCCAGUCAGGGCAGUGUAAAAGAGUAAAAGUUGAGAGGCUUGUUUGCACUUAUGCAACAUGUGGGGCUAUGUGAGGAGUAUGAGAGCUCUUUUCUCUCAUUUCUCAUCCACACACCCUCUCAUAUCUCUCUUUCUCUCUCUCUAGAAGACAAGAAGAGGAAGAAGAAAGGAAGGAAAAAGAAAGAGAAAGAGCGGGCUUUGGCAGCCCUCAUGACCUUCAUAAAGUUUGAUCCACCUACCUUCGAUGGAGAGAAUGUCGAUUCGUGGAUUGUGGAUACGUGGAUUGACUCCGUGGAAACGCUCUUCGAGGAGCUGUCUACCUUGGAGCGGGACAAGGUACCCCUAGCCGUGUAUUGUUUGAAACAGUCGGCUAAGGCGUGGUGGAAAGGCAUUCGACGGAACCGAUCGCCUAGUAUUCCUCCAUGGCAUGGGAUGAGUUUUGGGGAUUGGUAUCUUCUACUUACUUCCCCCGACAGUGAAAAGAGAAAGCUUCAGGACAAGUUCAGGAAGCUGCGGCAAGGAGACCGCUCAGUUAGAGAAUACGAACGGGAAUUCUCCCUAUCAUGAACUGUAUCCGAGAUAUGGAGCCUGCUGCUGACGACGUCAUGGCGGGUAUGAGCUGUUAAUGCAGUUAUGUGUUUCUGCAUAAUGUAGAGUUGGUGCAUUGCAUGCAUUGAGCAUGUAAUUAAUUACUACUAUUUAUGUAGUAGCAUAGUAGGGUCCAAGUGAGCGGGUAAAUGUAAACACCCGGGCACGCUUAUGUGGUGAAAGCGUUGCACCUGCCGGUGCAGGUAGAGAACUGGAUGGUACUAGCGAGUUGCUAGUGGUGGUCUAAUGAUGAGACUUGUAGUAGAGGUGGAAAUGACGAACCAACUCGCAGAGCAAUCUAUGUAAUUGAUUGCGAGAGUUGUGUCAUGACACUUGUGGACACUCGAAUGGUUUGAGUGUUCUAGAUGUUGCUCCGGUAGAGCGAUUGGCUGCCAAAUACGGGCGCGUUGGCCUAGUAGUACCUCGAAUUGAGGUGGGUGAGUCGUGCUCGUGUGGCCGGUGUGCAUAGGCAAGAGUUGCCUAAUGCUGGACAUAGUGUGGAGCGCUUUAGAGGCGUGCGAUACACGAGUAUAGUUACUCGUGGAGUGCGGAUUUAGUUCAGCCGGAUGAGUGUGUUGGCAGUAGCACCUGAGCAUUGCUAGGUGUGAAGCGUGCCACGGAUCACUCGUGGGGCUGGUGGCUCGCACUAGGUGCAUAGGAGCCGAUAGUGGUACGUAUUGUGCUAUAGAGCGUGUAGUGCGAUUGAUAGUAUACUGAGAGUGCGAGUGUGACCCAACCCGGGAAUCUGUAACGGUUUGGGAUCUUAGUUGCUCCUGGUUGGAGUGUGUGCGAAUUCCCAAGUGAGAAUUUCGCCCCAAUGAUGAUUGGGUCUGCAUUGCGAGCGAGAGACGCUGCGUAUUGAGAAAGGUUUAGGUGGUAGGCCUACAUAGUAUUGGUGGCCUUUGGACCACCAGUGGAAACCGAGGAAAGCGAUUUGGCGGAUAGACUUAUCGAGAGGUUUGACUCGAAUUCACGAACAAAGUGUUCUUGUGAGCUCUUUGCAGAAAUGGUUUGACGUUGACCAUGGCAUAUGGUAUUGAAAAAUGAAGUGCUCUUGGAGAGACCUUGAGCUUAUGGCAAGCCACGUGGAAUUUGAGAACUGGAAGUGGGGAUGUGCCGAAGUGGGCCAUCUCACUUAGAGCAAAAAGUCGGGGCGGAAUUAGAGCACUCGCGGUGAAGCGAUGCACUAGUGAUGUUGCUUUUAAGCAAUGUUGGAGAUAGAAUCGGAGUGUAUUCCCUGAGGGGAAAGUAAAUGCGAAGAAGAGUUCUUGUAUGCCAAAUGACAAGUGGUAUUGGACCGCGUGAAGUCGUUGAGUUUCGACUUGCGCCGCCACCAAGAGUGAUGGAUACCCUAAUGCACUUUGUGAGAUGCGCCUUGCAAAUUUGGAUGCAUUUAGUAUCAUGAACUCCGUGGUAGUCCUCUUGGAUAGUUCCAAGGAGUGUGAAGCCAUUCCGAAGUGGAAAGCGUAUUGGUGCUCUCAAUUACUCGAGGAGCUGAAUCGAGUUGUGGUUUGAAUUUCGCGGACGAAAUUCUUUUAAGGGGUGGAGAAUGUAAUAUACCGAACUUCUAAAUUCACGAAGUUACGAUGUAAGUUAGCUUAGAAAGCCAUUGGAAUCGUCCCGGCGAAGUUCGGGAGCAUUCGGGUGCUUCGGUGCGCAUAGGGCGCGAAAACGGAGCCGAAAGGCUAUGUUGGACCGUGAGUUAAAUCCGGCAUUAGCGUGGAUGAAAAGAUGAUGAAAACAUGUUCGAAAACAUAUUUGGAGAGUCUCGGUUCGAUUUGAAAUGAAUCAGAGGUCAAACGAGCGAAAACGAGCGAAAACGGAGCUAAAAUGGUGAAAAAGCUGAAAAUUUGGCUAAGUCCUUGAAGGCUGAUUUCUGGACCUUCGGGGACCGGUCUCUCAGUCAAGGACCGGUCUCUCAGGGACCGGUCUCUCAUCGCAAGGACCGGUCCCCGAAGCCCGAAAAUGCCCAGUUCGGGCUGUUGUGAGAAAUGCAUUGUUGAGGGUGUUUUCAGCAAUUUUGCACUAAUAGAGGCUAUUAGAUGGUGGAAUGAGAUCUUUCUCUCAUUUCUCUCACUCUCCCACACCAAAACCUCUCCCUCUCUCUCUCUAGAAAGAAAAGAAGGAGAAGAAGAGGGGAAAGAAAGGGAAGAAGAAGAUGAAGGAGAAGAGGCCAAGAAGAUAGAGUUUCAUCUUCAUCUCCUUCCUUGAGCCAUAGGAGCAAGCUUAGAGAGGUAAGCCUUAUGCUCUCUAAUGGUAGACUUCUAGAACUUGGUUUAUAUGUUCUAGAAUUGGAUUUUAUGUACUCCUAGCAUGUCAAAUAGAUGAUAAAUGCUUGGAUCAUGAGAUGAAAUGGUAGAUUUUGCAAUAGUUGCAUAUUAGGGCUCCAAAAAGGGGGUUUUUGUAGAUAGUUGAGUUUGAUCUCAAUUGACCCUCUAUAAACCUAAUUGGGGGUAUAACGAACGCGUUGGUGCGCUCGGUUCGACAAUCCGACGAGUGUACGCAAAGUUAUUGACGAAACAAUCUGUUUUGGUACAGAUAACUGCAGCACGCGGGAUAAGCCUCCAAAAAUCAUGAGAAUGGAUCGGGAGCAUCGUGGUGUCGGGGAAUAAACUCCCGAACAGACGGAUCGCGAAUUGGUGGCCGUUCGGGUGGUCGCACAAGAGUUCGGGCCAGACCGGGUUACGGAUGCCGCGGGAGGCCGAUUGCAAGUGUCGACAAGCAAUCGGAAAGCGUUUUGAGGUGGGUUGUGCUCACCGAAGCGAUUAGGUCGCUUUCCAUGCCAAAGUGUAGUAUGUUUACUAUUGAUGCAUGAUAAAGUAUGCUAUUUGAGAAUGCAUGAUAAAGUAUGCUAUUUAAGAAUGCAUGAUAAAGAUAGAUGCCAAAUGAAUGCAUGAGUUGAUGUUAAUUUACAUGUGCAUAUUAUAGAAAUGCUAAAUAGAUGUCAAAUGAAAGUAUGAGAUUUAUACUAACCGAGAAUGCAUGUAGUAAAUGUUAACGAAUGCAUAAAAUGCUAAGUAAUGACUACCAAUGGAUGACAAAAUAUAUGCAUGUUGAACAUAGAUCGAGUGGCAUUUGGAAAUGGUAAAGUGGACACUAGAGUUAGUGUGGGACAUCAAAGAAUAAAUGUGAUGUAAAGAAUAAUGAUAAUGGCUAAAGAUAAUGUAAAACAAUGUGAUGAUAAUAAUGUAAUGUUGCAUGAUGUGAGUACACGUGCUUAUUAGAAUGACUAAGAAUCUAAAUAAUCUAUAUGUAUGCAUGAGAUGUAAUGUGAGAACCUAAUGAUAAUGGCUUGAGACAAGGCAAAGCAAUGUGAUGUAAAGAAUAAUGAUAAUGGCUAGAGGCGAUGUAAAGUAAUGUGGCAUAAAGAACAAGCAAAGUGUAAAGAACAAUGAUAAUGGCUAGAGUUAGCAACCAAUGUGACAUAAAGAACACUAGAGUUAGUGUGUGGCAAUAAAAGAACAAGUGUGAUAUCAAGAAUGACAAUUACUAAAGUAAUUGAUAAUUGUGGUAUAAAGAAUAAUGAUUGCUAGAGUUAGCAACUAAUGUGAUGUAAAGAACACUAGAGUUAGUGUAAAACCAUGAUCCAACUACAUAUCCUUAGAGUUAAGGAUUGAUCAUACUUGCUAUGAGUUCCGUGCUCGAGGGCGGUCGCUCCCCCUCGGGCGAUGCGCUCCGGAGUUUGGCAUCCGGGUUGGAGUAGACCCGUAAGGACGGUCCUAGCUGGUGAGUUCCUGUGAUGAUGGACUUAAUGUGAAGCAAGUUAAUGUGGCGAAACCCCCGGGUUAGCCGUGAGAUUAAAGAACAAAGAACAAAAAAGGAAUCAUGAAUUGGAAAGUGGAUCUUAUAUUCAUUAUAAAUUGACUCAAGACCGAGUCGAGUGGCAUAGUUGGCCAGGGUAAAGGUAACCCUGUGAAAGAAUGACAAUUGAGAAAGAAUGACAAUUGAGAAACGUUUGUUAAUGUUAUAAAGAAUGGCAAAUGUGUAUAAUGCGCCUAAGGUGCGAGUGCCCUUAGCAAAGAAUAAAGAAUAAAGAAUAAAGAAUAAAGAAUAGAGAAUGGCUAAUGAUAAAGAAUUGCAUAUUCUAAAGAAAGGCUAAUGGUAAAGAAUGACUAAGAGUUGCAUAAUUUGCAUAUUUGUGAGGCAUGAACAUGUAUUGCAUGAUGUUAUAUGUAUAUAUCUGUUGGACUAACAUGUUGCUGUGCCUCCUUUGGACCUGGUGGGUUGAGCUCUUCCCUUGGGUGGCUGUACCCACUGACGACUAUGGACAAUAGUCUCACCCCCGUGUUGUUGUUUUUGGGGGUACAGGUUCACACGCGAGCGGCGCGGCGGCGCGAGGAAAGGGCGUAGCUCCGUAGUUAGCGCCCUACCACAGAGACCAGAUAGCAGCACCC
rnacentral:lncRNA from 1 species